CUCUCCAUCUAGGAAGCCUCCCUUCUCUUCCCCACGCACAACCACCAUCCCAGCAUGGCGAAGGCCGAGGGCGGCACCCCAGCCUAGCCCUCGGAGCAGUGGAGGCCUGCUGUGGUGCGCCUGUGCAUCCGCACACCGAUGCACGAGGUCGCUACAUCGAAACCCUAGGCGAGAGCCAAUGGAUGUGCAGCAGCAACACACGCAGCUGGAUCUGAGUGGGACGACCAUGGGGUUUCUGGUGACAGUGGUGGCUCUGAUCUAAUUUUGCCUUGGCUGGCCCCUGCGUCUUCCUCUUGGCCAUAAGCUCCCAGGUAAGCAGCACUUUCCUUCUCUUGCAAUCAAUUUUUGGAUCAAAUUUGAGCGGUGGUGCUUGGGGCAUGAUUCGAUUUGUUGCAGGUGCACCAUAGGAGAGGGAAUCGAAAAGGCCUUGGUGCUGGAUGUUAGGUGCGCUCAUGGCAAUGGUGUGGAUAUAUUGCUAUUGGGCACAAGCACUUUCCUCCAUCUAAUCUGGCACCUAAAAGAUUAGGAAGAGUUGAGGUUACAUGGGACAGAUUUUCAGCAAAGAAGUUUUAUAUGAAAAUGUGCUUUUGAUUCUGCACAUUAUUCAGAGAGCAGCAGCAACAUGAAGACAAGUUCAAUCUAGCAAGUGGUGAAGCUGUUGUUCAGCAUCACUGACAGGAGAAAAUUUGACAAGUGCACAGAAAGAUAUUGUUGGCUGCAUGGAGAGACAAUUGUUGGCUGUAUGAAUUAAUCUUGUUUUUAAAUUGCUUCAUCAUCAAUGUGUAAAUAUUUAUAUAUAUAUAAACAUAUUUGACCAAAUGGUUGUAAAUCUAUAACUGGAAAUGCAAUAAAGAAUUGUCACCAUA